rnacentral:rRNA from 1 species
ACACAUGCAAGUCGAGGGGUAUAGUAGCAAUACUAGAGACCGGCGCACGGGUGCGUAACGCGUAUGCAAUCUACCUUUUGCAGAGGGAUAGCCCAGAGAAAUUUGGAUUAAUACCUCAUAGUAUAACGACUCGGCAUCGAGAUGUUAUUAAAGUCACAACGGCAAAAGAUGAGCAUGCGUCCCAUUAGUUAGUUGGUAAGGUAACGGCUUACCAAGACUACGAUGGGUAGGGGUCCUGAGAGGGAGAUCCCCCACACUGGUACUGAGACACGGACCAGACUCCUACGGGAGGCAGCAGUGAGGAAUAUUGGACAAUGGGCGCAAGCCUGAUCCAGCCAUGCCGCGUGCAGGAUGACGGUCCUAUGGAUUGUAAACUGCUUUUGCACAGGAAGAAACAACGCUACGUGUAGCGUCUUGACGGUACUGUGAGAAUAAGGAUCGGCUAACUCCGUGCCAGCAGCCGCGGUAAUACGGAGGAUCCAAGCGUUAUCCGGAAUCAUUGGGUUUAAAGGGUCCGUAGGCGGUCUUAUAAGUCAGUGGUGAAAUCUCCCCGCUCAACGAUCAAACGGCCAUUGAUACUGUUAGACUUGAAUUACAAGGAAGUAACUAGAAUAUGUAGUGUAGCGGUGAAAUGCUUAGAUAUUACAUGGAAUACCAAUUGCGAAGGCAGGUUACUACUUGUGGAUUGACGCUGAUGGACGAAAGCGUGGGGAGCGAACAGGAUUAGAUACCCUGGUAGUCCACGCCGUAAACGAUGGAUACUAGCUGUUGGGCGCAAGCUCAGUGGCUAAGCGAAAGUGAUAAGUAUCCCACCU